AUGGUGCUGAGCUUCGGAGCAACCGUCGCCGUAGUCUACGUCGUGUACAGGCACGUCAAGAAGCACGACGUCCCCGCCAUCAGCAUCAUCGCCGCGAGCGUCAAGACGGCGGGGAUCACUACUGGUACGUUGCUGCACGCGGUGGUGCCGGACUCCCAGAUACGGGACGCCACCGUCGAGGGGUUCCUCAAGGAGAUCGCCGGCGACAAGCCCAUCCGGUUCACCGCGCGGCAGCUCUGGGGGUUCACCAACAACUACUCACUACUCAGACAGGAUCGGCGCCGGGGGCUCGGGAAGUCGGGAGUCGUGUACAGGGGCGUGCUCCCGAACGGACUCCCGGUCGCUGUGAAGCGCCUCCACGCCGGCCGCGACGACGGGAGCUCCGAGGAGCGGUUCAUGGCCGAGGUGAGCACCAUCGGGAGGACCCACCACGUCAACCUCGCCAGGCUCUUCGGCUUCUGCUUCGACGCCGACGUGCGCGCGCUGGUGUACGAGCACAUGGAGCCUGGCGCGCUCGACGCCUACCUCUUCGACUCUGCCGCCGUCGUGGGCUUCCCAACUCUGUACGGCAUCGCCGUCGGUGUCGCGAGGGGCCUCCGGUACCUCCACGAGGAGUGCCAACAGAAGAUCGUGCACUACGACGUCAAGCCCGGCAACGUGCUCCUCGACGUCGGCCUCGCUCCCAAGGUGGCCGGCUUUGGCCUCGCGCAGCUGAUGAACCGGGCGGACACGCACGCGACCGUCUCGGGGAUGCGUGGCACACCCGGGUACGCCGCGCCGGAGCUGUGGAUGCAGGUGGGCGUCACCGAGAAGUGCGACGUGUACAGCUUCGGCAUCCUCCUGUUCGAGAUCCUCGGCCGGAGGAGGAACUUCGACGAGGCGGCGCCGGAGAGUCGGCGGUGGUUCCCGAAGCUGGCGUGGGCCAAAUACGAGUGCGACGAGCUCGCGGAGGUCGUUGAUAGCCGUGGCAGCGCGGAGGAGGAGAAGGGCAGGGAGACGGCGAGGAGUAUGUGCGAGGUGGCGUUCUGGUGCGUGCAGCAGCUGCCGAAGGCGAGGCCGACCAUGGGCACAGUAGUGAAGAUGCUGGAAGGGGAGAUGUACAUUCCUCCUCGGCCGAACCCGUUUCAGCAUCUCAUGGCUGUGCCGGAGGUGGCGUGGACGUGA
rnacentral:rRNA from 1 species